GCAGCGAGCCGACCGUCCGGUCGGCGGACGCCCCGCUUCACCGUCGAGGAAAGUCCGGACAUCACAGGGCGCGGUGGUCGGGAAGCCGACCCGGGGAAACCCGCGGGACAGUGCCACAGAAACACACCGCCGAUGGCGUCGCGCGUCCGCGCGGGGCGCACAGGCAAGGGUGAAAUGGUGCGGUAAGAGCGCACCGGCGCCGUGGUGACACGGCGGCCAGGCAAACCCCACCGGAUGCAAGACCGAGCAGGACCGCUCGCAGGCUGCCCGCCGAGGUCCAGGUAGGUCGCACAGAUGGAUGGUUGCUCAACGACAGAAUCCGGCUUAUCGACGUGCUACGGGA
rnacentral:RNase_P_RNA from 2 species